UACAGAGGUCUCAAGCGUUGUUCGGAAUCACUGGGCGUAAAGGGUGCGUAGGCCGCACGGUAAGUCAGAGGUGAAAUCCUGGAGCUCAACUUCGGAAUUGCCUCCGAUACUGCCGUGCUUGAGGACUGGAGAGGAGUCUGGAAUUCCUGGUGUAGCAGUGAAAUGCGUAGAUAUCAGGAGGAACACCGAUGGCGAAGGCAGGUCUCUGGGCUGACACUGACGCUCAUGCACGAAAGCGUGGGGAGCAAACAGG
rnacentral:rRNA from 1 species